UACGGAGGGUGCGAGCGUUGUUCGGAAUCAUUGGGCGUAAAGGGCGUGUAGGUGGUCUAUUAAGUCAUGUGUGAAAGCCCUCAGCUUAACUGGGGAAGUGCGCAUGAAACUGACAGGCUAGAGUACCGAAGAGGAAGGUGGAAUUCCCGGUGUAGCGGUGAAAUGCGUAGAUAUCAGGAGGAACACCGGUGGCGAAGGCGGCUUUCUGGACAGAUACCGACGCUGAGGCACGAAAGCUAGGGGAGCAAACAGG
rnacentral:rRNA from 1 species